GCUGGGCACGGUGGUGCACACCUGUAAUCCCAGCUGUUUGGGAGGCUGAGGCAGGAGGAUUGUGAGUUCAAAGCCAGCCUCAGCAACUAUGAGGCGCUAAACAACUCAGUGAGACCCUGUCUCUA
rnacentral:sRNA from 1 species